rnacentral:rRNA from 1 species
UUAAAUUGAAGAGUUUGAUCAUGGCUCAGAUUGAACGCUGGCGGCAGGCCUAACACAUGCAAGUCGAACGGUAGCACAGAGAGCUUGCUCUCGGGUGACGAGUGGCGGACGGGUGAGUAAUGUCUGGGAAACUGCCUGAUGGAGGGGGAUAACUACUGGAAACGGUAGCUAAUACCGCAUAACGUCGCAAGACCAAAGAGGGGGACCUUCGGGCCUCUUGCCAUCAGAUGUGCCCAGAUGGGAUUAGCUAGUAGGCGGGGUAAUG